GAAAUGCGAUAAGUAAUGUGAGUUGCAGAAUUCAGUGAAUCAUCGAAUCUUUGAACGCACAUUGCGCUCCUUGGUAUUCCUUGGAGCAUGCCUGUUUGAGUAUCAUGAAAUCUUCAAAGUAAAUCUUUUGUUAACUCAAUUGGUUUCUACUUUGGUAUUGGAGGUCUUUGCAGCUUCACACCUGCUCCUCUUUGUUCAUUAGCUGGAUCUCAGUGUUAUGCUUGGUUCCACUCGGCGUGAUAAGUGAUCUAUCGCUGAGGACACUGUAAAAGGUGGCCAAGGUAAAUGCAGAUGAACCGCUUCUAAUAGUCCAUUGACUUGGACAAUACUUUUAUGAUCUGAUCUCAAAUCAGGUAGGACUACCCGCUGAACUUAAGC
rnacentral:misc_RNA from 1 species